AUGCUAGGGGAGCUAAUUUAGCUGAGAAGGAAAAUUCCUGACUCUUAGAACCUGAUAUGGAUAAUACCAGCGUAGGGAAGCAUAGGAC
rnacentral:ncRNA from 1 species